rnacentral:ncRNA from 6 species
GUAGGGGAACCUGCGGAAGGAUCAUUA